CCUACGGGGCGCAGCAGUCGAGAAUCAUUCACAAUGGGGGAAACCCUGAUGGUGCGACGCCGCGUGGGGGAAUGAAGGUCUUCGGAUUGUAAACCCCUGUCAUGUGGGAGCAAAUUAAAAAGAUAGUACCACAAGAGGAAGAGACGGCUAACUCUGUUCCAGCAGCCGCGGUAAUACAGAGGUCUCAAGCGGUGUUCGGAAUCACUGGGCGUAAAGCGUGCGUAGGCUGUUUCGUAAGUCGGGUGUGAAAGGGGCGGGCUCAACCCGCGGACGGCACAUGAUACUGGGAGACUAGAGUAAUGGAGGGGGAACCGGAAUGCUCGGUGUAGCAGUGAAAUGCGUAGAUAUCGAGAGGAACACUCGUGGCGAAGGCGGGUUCCUGGACAUUAACUGACGCUGAGGCACGAAGGCCAGGGGAGCGAAAGGGAUUAGAUACCCUUGUAGUC
rnacentral:rRNA from 1 species